rnacentral:SRP_RNA from 1 species
GCCGGGUGUGGUGACUCACGCCUGUAAUCCCAGCACUUUGGGAGGCCGAGGCGGGUGGAUCACUUGAGGUCAGGAGUUAGAGACCAGCCUGGCCAACACAGUGAAACCCCGUCUCUA